CUUUUUCCAGUUCACAUAAAUUUCUUAUCUUUUUUAUUUUCAGCAGAAGCAAACUUCCAGGAAACUUUUGAUCCUUUAGAGCUUUUACCUUCUUGGGCUUUUCUGAAAAAUCUGAUCACUCUGAACUUUUGUUCUGGGUAUGUUUAAUUUGAUCGGCUUCUUUGAUUUCUAAGCUGAAUUGACAGAGAGUGGGGGGUUGAUUGGUUCGAUUAGGUUUUGGGUGUCCACUAUUUGAUUCGAAAGUUUGGUUCUUCUGAGGCAUUUGAUUGCAGAUAGAGUUGGAGCUCAAAAGUUGCAUAUAUUCAAGAAGCCGUGAAGACCAGGUUUUUUAAACUCCUAGAGGCAGAGGUUUGGGAGUUUAAGGAUUGUGUUCCAAGGUUGGUAUUCUGUGUGUAUAUUGGAGAGAAGAUUGAUUGAGGGCUUUGGUCUAUAAAUGGAAGUAUAAAGUUUAAUAUUUAAUGUAUGUAUAUAUUAAUUGACA